GGGCCGGUAGCUCAGUUGGUAGAGCACCUGACUUUUAAUCAGGUUGUCGGGGGUUCGACCCCCCCCCGGCUCACCA
rnacentral:tRNA from 1 species